UUUGUGUAAUGAUGAAAAAAAAGUCAUACAGUUAUCCCUGUCUUAAUCAUUCUAUGUUGAUCUUUAUAUUAAUUAGACUCUGAACACUCU
rnacentral:snoRNA from 1 species